rnacentral:rRNA from 1 species
CGGGGUGCAGCAGGCGCGAAACCUUUACAAUGCACGCAAGUGUGAUAAGGGAAUCCUAAGUGCUCAUGUUUUACAUGGGCUUUUGCCAAGGGUAAAUACCUUGGAGAAUAAGUGGUGGGCAAGACUGGUGCCAGCAGCCGCGGUAACCCCAGCGCCACGAGUGGGGACCUCUUUUAUUGGGCCUAAAGCGUCCGUAGCUGGUUUUGUAAAUCUCUUGUGAAAUCGUCAAGCCCAACUUGACGGCAUGCGGGAGACACUGCAUUACUUGAGACCGGGAGACGUAAGGAGUAUUUCUGGGGAACCGGUAAAAUGGGAUAAUCCUAGAAAGACUACCUGUGGCGAAGGCGCCUUACGAGAACGGAUCUGACAGUGAGGGACGAAGGCUAGGGGAGCAAACCGGAUUAGAUACCCGAGUAGUCCUAGCAGUAAACGCUGUGAGCCAGGCGUUGCGCAUUCAUUAGGAAUGCGCAGUGUCGAAACGAAGGUGUUAAGCUCACCGCCUGGGAAGUAUGGUCGCAAGACUGAAACUUAAAGGAAUUGGCGGGGGAGCACAAGGGCGAAUUCGCGG